ACCACCAGCUAAGGUCCCAAAAUAUAUGUUAAGUGGAAAAGGAUGUGGCGUUGCCCAGACAACUAGGAUGUUGGCUUAGAAGCAGCCAUCAUUUAAAGAGUGCGUAAUAGCUCACUAGUCGAGUGACACUGCGCCGAAAAUGUACCGGGGCUAAACAUAUUACCGAAGCUGUGGAUUGUCCUUUGGACAAUGGUAGGAGAGCGUUCUAAGGGCGUUGAAGCAUGAUCGUAAGGACAUGUGGAGCGCUUAGAAGUGAGAAUGCCGGUGUGAGUAGCGAAAGACGGGUGAGAAUCCCGUCCACCGAUUGACUAAGGUUUCCAGAGGAAGGCUCGUCCGCUCUGGGUUAGUCGGGUCCUAAGCUGAGGCCGACAGGCGUAGGCGAUGGAUAACAGGUUGAUAUUCCUGUACCACCUAUAAUCGUUUUAAUCGAUGGGGGGACGCAGUAGGAUAGGCGAAGCGUGCGAUUGGAUUGCACGUCUAAGCAGUAAGGCUGAGUAUUAGGCAAAUCCGGUACUCGUUAAGGCUGAGCUGUGAUGGGGAGAAGACAUUGUGUCUUCGAGUCGUUGAUUUCACACUGCCGAGAAAAGCCUCUAGAUAGAAAAUAGGUGCCCGUACCGCAAACCGACACAGGUAGUCAAGAUGAGAAUUCUAAGGUGAGCGAGCGAACUCUCGUUAAGGAACUCGGCAAAAUGACCCCGUAACUUCGGGAGAAGGGGUGCUCUUUAGGGUUAACGCCCAGAAGAGCCGCAGUGAAUAGGCCCAAGCGACUGUUUAUCAAAAACACAGGUCUCUGCUAAACCGUAAGGUGAUGUAUAGGGGCUGACGCCUGCCCGGUGCUGGAAGGUUAAGAGGAGUGGUUAGCUUCUGCGAAGCUACGAAUCGAAGCCCCAGUAAACGGCGGCCGUAACUAUAACGGUCCUAAGGUAGCGAAAUUCCUUGUCGGGUAAGUUCCGACCCGCACGAAAGGCGUAACGAUUUGGGCACUGUCUCAACGAGAGACUCGGUGAAAUCAUAGUACCUGUGAAGAUGCAGGUUACCCGCGACAGGACGGAAAGACCCCGUGGAGCUUUACUGUAGCCUGAUAUUGAAAUUCGGCACAGCUUGUACAGGAUAGGUAGGAGCCUUUGAAACGUGAGCGCUAGCUUACGUGGAGGCGCUGGUGGGAUACUACCCUAGCUGUGUUGGCUUU
rnacentral:rRNA from 1 species